UACGUAGGAUGCUAGCGUUGUCCGGAUUUACUGGGCGUAAAGCGCGCGCAGGCGGCACUGUAAGUAAGGUGUGAAAUAUCCCUGCUCAACGGGGAGGGUGCACUUUAGACUGCAGAGCUAGAGGACGGUAGAGGGGGGUGGAAUUGCUGGUGUAGCGGUGAAAUGCGUAGAGAUCAGCAGGAACACCCGUGGCGAAGGCGGCCCCCUGGGCCGAACCUGACGCUGAGGCGCGAAAAGCGUGGGGAGCAAACAGGG
rnacentral:rRNA from 1 species